rnacentral:rRNA from 1 species
CAGUCGCCACGGGAAUACAGAGGGUGCGAGCGUUAAUCGGAUUUACUGGGCGUAAAGCGUGCGUAGGCGGCUUCUUAAGUCGGAUGUGAAAUCCCUGAGCUUAACUUAGGAAUUGCAUUCGAUACUGGAAAGCUAGAGUAUGGGAGAGGAUGGUAGAAUUCCAGGUGUAGCGGUGAAAUGCGUAGAGAUCUGGAGGAAUACCGAUGGCGAAGGCAGCCAUCUGGCCUAAUACUGACGCUGAGGUACGAAAGCAUGGGGAGCAAACAGGAUUAGAUACCCCUGUAGUCCCUGUCUCUUAUAC